AUUGAACGCUGGCGGCAGGCCUAACACAUGCAAGUCGAGCGAGCGGCGGACGGGUGAGGAAUGUAUGGGGACUGCCAGAGAGAGGGGGAUAACGACUGGAAACGGUAGCUCAUACCGCAUCCAAUCGGAUAAGCCAUGUGGGAUUAGCUCGUAGGUGAGGUAAUGGCUCACCUAGGCGAAGAUCCCUAGCGGGUCUUAGAGGAUGAUCAGCCACACUGGGACGGAGACACGGCCCAGACUCCUACGGAGGCAUCAGUGGGGAAUAUUGCACAAUGGGCGCAAGCCUGAUGCAGCCAUGCCGCGUGUAUGAAGAAGGCCUUAGGGUUGUAAAGUACUUUCAGUCGGGAGGCGUUACCGACAGAAGAAGCACCGGCUAACUCCGUGCCAGCCGCCGCGGUAAUAC
rnacentral:rRNA from 1 species